rnacentral:rRNA from 1 species
CGCGUAGGCGGCUUGGCAAGCGGGCGGUGAAAGCCCGGGGCUCAACCCCGGGUCAGCCGAACGGACUGCUAGGCUGGACCACACUAGGGGCUCGUGGGAAUUCCGGGUGUAGCGGUGGAAUGCGUAGAGAUCCGGAAGAACACCGGUGGCGAAGGCGGCGAGCUGGGGUGUGUGUGACGCUGAUGCGCGACAGCGUGGGGAGCAAACAGGAUUAGAUACCCUGGUAGUCCACGCCGUAAACGAUGGGCACUAGGUGCCCGGGGGAGCGACCCCUCGGGUGCCGUCGCUAACGCAUUAAGUGCCCCGCCUGGGGAGUACGGCCGCAAGGCUGAA